rnacentral:lncRNA from 1 species
UGACGUUAAGGAUAAGUAUGGGGUGGGUGAUCAUAUGGAAUAUAGAGGGCGUACGUGGGGUAGUAGUUCUACGCUAGGCACCCAUAGGAGCUGUGGGAACCCACAUGAAUAUGGGCUAGUGGUCUAGCGAGAACUACCCACGGAGAACGAGAAGACGAGCCAGCCGCGAGCGGCGGGAUAUAAAAACGUGCAUUGUAGGAGUCAUUAGUUCAUGGUUGGGUAUCUGGGUGCUAAGAUGGAGUCUUGUAUGUCGAGUCGGUUAAGUCUAUGGUUUGGUGUGUGUGGCGAUGAGUGAGGUCAUUGUAUUGGUUGAUCGCUAGGUUGAUAGAAACGCCGAGAAUUGUGAAUGCUUAGAAAUGACGAUGAUAUGAAAUGAUAGUUGCAUUAACUGAUUGUAGUGGUCUAGCGAAAGCUACCCACGGAGAACGAGAAGACGAGCCAGCCGCGAGAGGCGAGAUAUAAAAACGUGCAUUGUAGGAGUCAUUAGUUCAUGGUCGGGUAUGUGGGUGUUAAGAUGGAGUCAGUCUUGUAUGUCGAGUCAGUUAAGUCUAUGGUUUGGUGUGUGUGGCGAUGAGUGUGGUCAUUGUAUUGGUUGAUCGCUAGGUUGAUAGAAACGUCAAGAAUUAUGAAUGAUUAGAAAUGAUGAUGAUAUGAAAUGAUAGUUGCAUUAACUGAUUGUAGUAGCUAGUCAGUCCUAGUUUCCGCAUAGAGUAGUAUAGAGUGUCGUGCGGGCAGGCUGGUCUAGAGUCACUUCACUGAGGAACUUGUUGCUCAUCCCUCCUUUUCCAUUUCUCUGUGCGCAGGACUGUAAGUAGAAGUAUAUGGAUGUGGGUGUGACGGUAUUUCAAAGAAAGUUAUGCGUCUGUCGACUCUUGAGACCAGUAACGGGACACGUAGGGUUGUCUAAAUGAGUAGACAUGUGUCCAUAACACCCUUUCGAUAACCCCGGUUGGACGCCGGGGGAUCGGGCCGCUACAAUAUGUAUCAGAGCGGGGGUUAAGAUCCCUUAGUUCUGCCCUAAGGGAUCGGCAUUUUCGAUGUUUUCAAAAAAAAAAAAAACUUGUUUUUGUUAAAAGAAAAGAGUUUGUGAAAGUUUUGAUUCUCCUAAAAGUUUUGAAAACGAUUUCAAAAUCACCCACUAUAUCUAUAAGUCUAUUAAGGUUUUUAUCAGAUCCAUUUUACUUGCAUAAUUUUUUUCUGAGCUUAAUUCAUUCCUUCGUUUUUAAAAGAUCUCGAGCAGAGUUGUUCUCGCCUUGUAUGCCUCCCUUGUAUGAUGUGUGAUUGUGUGAGUUCUUUUCGGGAUCAGGUGUUAAGUUCGGGAGUCUGGAGCCUUGUAAUUCAUGGACGAAUUCCGAUUAACACGGGGAGAAUUGUAGCGGCCCGGUUUCUAGAUCAAAAAUUUCUUAAGGAGAGCCAGUUAAGACUGCAGCCCAUUAGGGUAAAUAACCUAGGGUUUCCUCCUUUUCCUAUAAAUGAAGCUGUCUACUCUCACAUUUUUCUCAUUCUGAAACUUAAGCGAAGCUCUGCAGAGAUUUAGAGAGACUAGGAAACCCUAGCCGUCAAGCUUCUCUCUUCCUUUUCUCUAUUCUUCUCUCACGCCUCUCUCUCUCCCUCUCCUUUCUCUUUCCGUUGGAUCUCUUCCUCUCUCCUCGCCGCGAGUCCCCCGAGAGCAAGCCGAGCUGCCGGUGGUGGUCGUCCAAGAGGUGGUGGGGGUGAUCGUCCGAGUGUGGUGAUGGUGGUGGCUGUGUGGUGUUGUGGUGGUAACCAUAUCUCGUCUCUCUCUUGUUUACUUGUUCCAGAUCUGUUCAAAUCUCAUCCUCUUUGUCUCUUUUUCUAGAUCCAGAUCCAGAUCUAGGCUAAGGUGGAGUGUUUCGAACCCAUCUUUGUCCCAUGUACUGUAUACUUUUUUAUGUUGGAGUUAGGUGUGAUUAGACCCUGUUUGAGAGCUAGGUUGAUAGAACAUGUUUAUUGCUAGGAUGAUAGAUGAAUGGAUCACGAUUCAUAAGAACCCUCAUACUGUUAAAUGAGACUUAAUGAACUGUCUUGUGUUGUUGUGGUGAUGAUUGAUUGAUAAUUGAUGCUUGUAUGAUUGGAUGUGCAGUCCUAUGUAUUGUUUGUGAUUAAAGCUAUGAUGGUAGAAAGAAGCGAAUGCUAGGAUGAUGGAUGAGUAUCGAUUGUUAAUGUUAUUGUAAGUAGAACAUGAGUGUGAUGUGUAUUGUGUGUGACACCGAUAACGGGUGGCGUCUAGUGAACGAGUAUGAGUAUGAGUCUAGUGUAAAGGAAUGAGAAUGAGAAUGAGAAAGUGAAAGUGAAUGAGAAUGAGAUUGGAUAAGUGAAUGACGUUAAGGAUAAGUAUGGGGUGGGUGAUCAUAUGGAAUAUAGAGGGCGUACGUGGGGUAGUAGUUCUACGCUAGGCACCCAUAGGAGCUGUGGGAACCCACAUGAAUAUGGGCUAGUGGUCUAGCGAGAACUACCCACGGAGAACGAGAAGACGAGCCAGCCGCGAGCGGCGGGAUAUAAAAACGUGCAUUGUAGGAGUCAUUAGUUCAUGGUUGGGUAUCUGGGUGCUAAGAUGGAGUCUUGUAUGUCGAGUCGGUUAAGUCUAUGGUUUGGUGUGUGUGGCGAUGAGUGAGGUCAUUGUAUUGGUUGAUCGCUAGGUUGAUAGAAACGCCGAGAAUUGUGAAUGCUUAGAAAUGACGAUGAUAUGAAAUGAUAGUUGCAUUAACUGAUUGUAGUGGUCUAGCGA